ACAACUAAGUGGCGCGGCCUUGCAUCGUUGAAACGGACGUGAAAACGGCUCAUUACGACCCGAUGAGCAAAAGCUGCACAAACGAUGAGACGCCCAGAGAAGUUGCACAAAGAAGUAGAUGUCUAUAGAGCGAAGGUUGUAAGAUUGUGGUUGUUCCAUCAAUAUUGUCAUCUUCUGAAAGCUCAAAACAUUGCGAAAGCUGCUUUUCGUAUUUGCUCUAGACUUUGGCUGUGCGUGGCGGUUGGUGUUGUUUCAGCUAUAAAAUCAAUGUCUUUGUGUGUUAGAGCUACAAUGAGUCGUUCUGUUUGUUGUGAGCUGGAAAAUCGGUGAAUGCAUAAUAUUGAUGAUGAGUGAGGCAGGUGCAAGUUCGUUUACGGCUCCUGCAAAGAAAAAGUUAAGGUUCGAUGUAGCGUCGAGGUGAGGGCUAGGAUUAGAGUGAGGGUUAGGGUUAGAAUGAGAGUCAGGGUUACAGUUCGUUGCCCCUGCUUAUUGUGAGACAGCGGGCCAAGCUGAUUCCAACAGAAAGCGUAACGACAGCCAGUGGUGCAGUCGUUGUGUAAACGUAAGCCUAGUGAAUGCAAGAUGAACAACUACAAGCCUCAUGUAAUGCUAGCUUGGCAAGCUAGCAUGGAUAUUCAGUAUGUUGUAAAUGCUUAUGCUUGUGUUAUGUAUGUGGCUUGUUACAUAAGGAAAACUGAUGAUGGUAUGGGAGAGCUGCUUAGGUGUGUUGAGGAUUCUGUUAUAGCGCGACUAAUUACCUUCAAGGUGCAU